UGCAGAACGACGCCGGCGAGUUUGUGGACC
rnacentral:piRNA from 2 species